UACGGGGGGGAGCAAGCGUUGUUCGGAUUUACUGGGCGUAAAGGGCGCGUAGGCGGCCAGCACAAGUCAGUUGUGAAAUCUCCGGGCUUAACUCGGAAAGGUCAACUGAUACUGUGCGGCUAGAGUGCAGAAGGGGGCAACUGGAAUUCUCGGUGUAGCGGUGAAAUGCGUAGAUAUCGAGAGGAACACCUGCGGCGAAGGCGGGUUGCUGGGCUGACACUGACGCUGAUGCGCGAAAGCCAGGGGAGCGAACGGG
rnacentral:rRNA from 1 species